CAAAUUAAAGCAAGAAACAGCUAAGAUUUAAAAAAAAAGGUAACAUUAAGUUACCAUCAAUAUUUUCCUAAGACGAAAUUCAAUUAUUUCGAAAAAAAAAAGGCGGCGGCGACUAUUUCAUUUGGUUUCGCUGGUUCGACCAAGGCUAAUUAGCUGGUGUGUUGUAUCAAAGAGAGGGUUUCCAGACUCAACGUAGGGUUUAGAAAACCCCUCAAUAGAAACAUUACAGAACAGUUUCUUGACUAGCUUUAGUGAAAUCGAUUAGGAAAAAAAAUAAAGAAAACAUUGUCUUUGCGCCCGUGUUUCAGAAUUGUCAAUGUUGUUUGCUUAGAGAACGAUUAAUUUUUUAAUGAAGGCGAGUCUUAUUUCACACGCCUGAGCAUAAAUAUGGCUCUGGUACAGUAAUUUUCGCACUCUUCUUUUGGGGCAACGUUGUGUGACAUCAAUCCAAAAGGAGACUAAUCUCUGAUCGUCUCAAGAUGAUAUUGCAGGUGCUGGUGCUGCUGCAACUGAGAAACGCUGUUACAGCAGGCUCCCCACUACCGCCCAACACACCUCCAUUGCCCACGGCUCCUGGGAGCAUUGUGUUUAACUGCUCCUUCGAUAGCGAUCUGUGCGGAUUUGUUCAAUCAUCGAACGACACCUUCAACUGGACUAUAAAUUCUGGAAGAACCCCAUCUCAUGGUACAGGGCCAACCCAGGAUGUCUCUGGAAAUGGUAAAAUAUUUUUAGGAAAUGUAUAUAAUUUUACCACUGACGACAUUUC